rnacentral:tRNA from 1 species
GGUUUAGUGGUGUAUAAACACAGUAAGUUGUAAACUUAAAGAUGCCCCGGCCUAGAUCA